rnacentral:lncRNA from 1 species
GACAUGUUUGCCCAGACGAGAGGAAACUCCUUGGCUGAGCAGCGCAAGACACACCACCCUGCCUGGCCCCUCAUCCACAGGAGAAGCUUGGAAGCAGGAGGGUGCAGCCAUGCAGGGUGAACCCAUUCCUUACAGCGAGAUUUUCCUGACUAAAAUAAGUGGUCAGAGCAGAGGCUCCUCUGAUAGCAGCUCUGGCUAGGAUGAGCCAUCUGGAAUUCAGGGAGUUGAUUCCAAAAGAGAGAAUCUCCUACAUCUCAGGGAGGCACUGUACAUGUUUUGAGCUUUCUGUUCAGCCUAAAGGCGGGUGAAACACACUUUUUCCCACCUUUCCCAGGGACCCAGCAUCUUGGUGCACUCAGCACCCUGAGUCCUGCUUGGGGCUCAGUAGGGUAAGCAGAAACCCAAGGUCCCAUGUACCCUUCACCACCAAAGGUUGAUUGUAAAACAGAUAUAGCUAAAGGAGUCGGAGAGUGGAGGAAGACCUCCCAUAAUCAGUGACAGGCCCGGGUCCCAGAGACCACCUUCCCUGUCAAAUGCCACUGAGGCUGCUGCUAAUAAAAUAAGAAUUAAUGUUA